CGCCAAGACGGAGGAAGAUCUGGCCCUUACCCCUCGGAUAGAUUGGGCGGGGAAAGAAAACAGGGGAGAGAAGAGGACUACUGAGGAGGAGGAAAAAGAGGGAAGGGAGAGAGAAAAAGCGUAUACCAUCGCGCUAGCUUGUAAGGCGGUAUGACCAGCAAAUACACCAUUUACAUCAGCCUCAGGUCUUUUUAAACAUUCUUCGCAUUUAGCAGCGUCACCAUUUGCAGCAGUUUUCACUAGUUCUUCGUUCACAUCACCCGAGACAUGUGUUUCAAACAAUUUU